UGGGCUUGACAUAUGCCGGAUCGGCGCAGAGAUGCGUUUUCCCUUGUGGUCGGUAUACAGGUGGUGCAUGGUUGUCGUCAGCUCGUGUCGUGAGAUGUUGGGUUAAGUCCCGCAACGAGCGCAACCCUUGUCUUGUGUUGCCAGCACGUUAUGGUGGGGACUCGCGAGAGACUGCCGGGGUUAACUCGGAGGAAGGUGGGGAUGACGUCAAAUCAUCAUGCCCCUUAUGUCCAGGGCUUCACACAUGCUACAAUGGUCGGUACAGUGGGUUGCUACACCGUGAGGUGGUGCUAAUCCCUUAAAGCCGGUCUCAGUUCGGAUUGGAGUCUGCAACUCGACUCCAUGAAGUCGGAGUCGCUAGUAAUCGCAGAUCAGCAACGCUGCGGUGAAUACGUUCCCGGGCCUU
rnacentral:rRNA from 1 species